AUGACACAGCAGCCUGCAAUCUUGCUCACCCUAAUCCUCACUAUGCCGGCCAUGGCCGUGGCCGGGCGUGCCCUUCACGAGGCCCCUCCAGCACCUCUUCUCCAACCCUCACCUGCCGCUACCGCAGCACCGCUUCUCCAGGCGCCACCAGUGCCAUACCUGCCGCCGCCAGUACCUCAUGUACCCGCCGCCGCCGGCGGGUCAGGAGCAGUUCUGCAGCAGCCACCCGCAGCUGAUCAUCCGUCGUGGCCAGCGUCGCUCCAUAUCCAUGUCACCAGGGCCGGCGUCCUCGGCGUGGUGCUUUCGUUCCUCGCAGGCUGUUUUCUCUGCGCCCUCUUCAUCGCCUUCGUCGGGCGCUUGAGCAAAUCUGCGCAGGCGGCCAACGGGCCUCAAGGCGACGGCGGCGGAGGCGGUAUGGAAGACACUGCUCAGAGAUGUCUCUGCUGCUUCGCUAGAGUUGCAGGGUGCGCGUGA
rnacentral:rRNA from 1 species